rnacentral:tRNA from 1 species
GUUAGUAACACCUCAGGUGCUUUUGAUUUGAAAUCAAAAAAUUUGUUUUUAGUAACAAUACUAACU